rnacentral:rRNA from 1 species
GCGGCGGACGGGUGAGUAACGCGUGGGAACGUGCCUUCUGGUCUGGAAUAACCCUGGGAAACUAGGGCUAAUACCGGAUACGCCCUUUUGGGGAAAGGCUUACUGCCGGAAGAUCGGCCCGCGUCUGAUUAGCUAGUUGGUGGGGUAACGGCCUACCAAGGCGACGAUCAGUAGCUGGUCUGAGAGGAUGAUCAGCCACACUGGGACUGAGACACGGCCCAGACUCCUACGGGAGGCAGCAGUGGGGAAUAUUGGACAAUGGGCGCAAGCCUGAUCCAGCCAUGCCGCGUGAGUGAUGAAGGCCUUAGGGUUGUAAAGCUCUUUUAUCCGGGACGAUAAUGACGGUACCGGAGGAAUAAGCCCCGGCUAACUUCGUGCCAGCAGCCGCGGUAAUACGAAGGGGGCUAGCGUUGCUCGGAAUCACUGGGCGUAAAGGGCGCGUAGGCGGCGUUUUAAGUCGGGGGUGGAAGCCUGUGGCUCAACCACAGAAUGGCCUUCGAUACUGGGACGCUUGAGUAUGGUAGAGGUUGGUGGAACUGCGAGUGUAGAGGUGAAAUUCGUAGAUAUUCGCAAGACACCGGUGGCGAAGGCGGCCAACUGGACCAUUACUGACGCUGAGGCGCGAAAGCGUGGGGAGCAAACAGGAUUAGAUACCCUGUAGUCCACGCCGUAAACGAUGAAUGCCAGCUGUUGGGGUGCUUGCACCGCA